UACGUAGGGUGCGAGCGUUGUCCGGAAUUAUUGGGCGUAAAGAGCUUGUAGGCGGUUUUUCGCGUCUGCUGUGAAAAUCCGGGGCUCAACCCCGGACGUGCAGUGGGUACGGGCAGACUGGAGUGUGGUAGGGGAGACUGGAAUUCCUGGUGUAGCGGUGGAAUGCGCAGAUAUCAGGAGGAACACCGAUGGCGAAGGCAGGUCUCUGGGCCACUACUGACGCUGAGAAGCGAAAGCAUGGGGAGCGAACAGG
rnacentral:rRNA from 1 species